rnacentral:rRNA from 1 species
GAUGAACGCUGGCGGCGUGCCUAAUACAUGCAAGUCGAGCGAACAGACGAGGAGCUUGCUCCUCUGACGUUAGCGGCGGACGGGUGAGUAACACGUGGAUAACCUACCUAUAAGACUGGGAUAACUUCGGGAAACCGGAGCUAAUACCGGAUAAUAUAUUGAACCGCAGGGUUCAAUAGUGAAAGACGGUUUUGCUGUCACUUAUAGAUGGAUCCGCGCCGCAUUAGCUAGUUGGUAAGGUAACGGCUUACCAAGGCAACGAUGCGUAGCCGACCUGAGAGGGUGAUCGGCCACACUGGAACUGAGCCGCGGUCCAGACUCCUACGGGAGGCAGCAGUAGGGAAUCUUCCGCAAUGGGCGAAAGCCUGACGGAGCAACGCCGCGUGAGUGAUGAAGGUCUUCGGAUCGUAAAACUCUGUUAUUAGGGAAGAACAAAUGUGUAAGUAACUAUGCACGUCUUGACGGUACCUAAUCAGAAAGCCACGGCUAACUACGUG